CUCUUCCUACGGGACGCAGCAGUGGGGAAUAUUGCACAAUGGGGGAAACCCUGAUCCAGCGACGCCGCGUGAGUGAAGAAGUAUUUCGGUAUGUAAAGCUCUCUCAGCAGGGAAGAAAAUGACGGUACCUGACUAAGAAGCCCCGGCUAACUACGUGCCAGCAGCCGCGGUAAUACGUAGGGGGCAAGCGUUAUCCGGAUUUACUGGGUGUAAAGGGAGCGGAGACGGUGCAGCAAGUCUGAUGUGAAAGGUCGGGGCCCAACCCCGGGACUGCAUUGGAGACUGUUGAACUGGAGUACAGGAGA
rnacentral:rRNA from 1 species